rnacentral:rRNA from 1 species
GACGAACGCUGGCGGCGUGCCUAAUACAUGCAAGUAGAACGCUGAAGGAGGAGCUUGCUUCUCUGGAUGAGUUGCGAACGGGUGAGUAACGCGUAGGUAACCUGCCUGGUAGCGGGGGAUAACUAUUGGAAACGAUAGCUAAUACCGCAUAAUAGCAGUUGUUGCAUGACAACUGUUUGAAAGGUGCAAUUGCACCACUACCAGAUGGACCUGCGUUGUAUUAGCUAGUUGGUGGGGUAACGGCUCACCAAGGCGACGAUACAUAGCCGACCUGAGAGGGUGAUCGGCCACACUGGGACUGAGACACGGCCCAGACUCCUACGGGAGGCAGCAGUAGGGAAUCUUCGGCAAUGGACGGAAGUCUGACCGAGCAACGCCGCGUGAGUGAAGAAGGUUUUCGGAUCGUAAAGCUCUGUUGUAAGAGAAGAACGAGUGUGAGAGUGGAAAGUUCACACUGUGACGGUAGCUUACCAGAAAGGGGCGGCUAACUACGUG